rnacentral:misc_RNA from 1 species
GAUGAAGAACGUAGCGAAAUGCGAUAAGUAAUGCGAAUUGCAGAAUUCCAGUGAGUCAUCGAAUCUUUGAACGCACAUUGCGCCCUUUGGUAUUCCGAAGGGCAUGCCUGUUCGAGCGUCAUUAUCACCCCUCAAGCCCCCGGCUUGGUGUUGGACGGUUUGGUGGAGGCCCCCUCUGGGGCUCCUGCCCCUCCCAAAGACAAUGACGGCGGCCUCGUUGGACCCCCGGUACACUGAGUUCUUCACGGGACACGUAUCGGACACAUGGGUUUACGGGACACGGUCUGCCUCCCCUCAGGGAGAAUCUUUCUAAGGUUGACCUCGGAUCAGGUAGGGAUACCCGCUGAACUUAAGCAUAUCAAUAAGCGGAGGA